rnacentral:rRNA from 1 species
AGGUAAGCUACUAAGAGCGAAUGGUGGAUGCCUUGACUGGUAGAGGCGAUGAAGGACGUACUAGACUGCGAUAAGCUAGGUGGAGCUGUCAAGAAGCUUUGAUGCCUAGAUUUCCGAAUGGGGCAACCCAGUAUAUAGAGAUAUAUACUACCAUAAUGGAGCGAACGAGGGGAAUUGAAACAUCUUAGUACCCUCAGGAAAAGAAAUCAAACGAGAUUGCGUCAGUAGCGGCGAGCGAAAGCGUAAGAGGGCAAACCCAGUGCUUGCACUGGGGGUUGUAGGACUGCAAUGUGCAAGAGGAAAGGUUAGCAGAACACUCUGGAAAGUGUAGCCAUAGAGGGUGAUAGUCCCGUAUGCAAAAACCUAACCUUAGCUAGCAGUAUCCUGAGUAGGGCGGGACACGAGAAAUCCUGUCUGAAGCUGGGUAGACCACUAUCCAACCCUAAAUACUACUACCAGAUCGAUAGCGAACAAGUACCGUGAGGGAAAGGUGAAAAGAACGGCGGUGAGCCGAGUGAAAUAGAACCUGAAACCAUUUGCUUACAAUCAUUCAGAGCACUAUGUAGCAAUACAGUGUGAUGGACUGCCUUUUGCAUAAUGAGCCUGCGAGUUGUGGUGUCUGGCAAGGUUAAGCUAACGCGAAGCCGUAGCGAAAGCGAGUCUGAAUAGGGCGCUAAGUCAGAUGCUGCAGACCCGAAACGAAGUGAUCUAUCCAUGAGCAGGUUGAAGCUAGUGUAAGAACUAGUGGAGGACCGAACCCGCUAGCGUUGAAAAGCUAUGGGAUGACUUGUGGAUAGGGGUGAAAGGCCAAUCAAACUUCGUGAUAGCUGGUUCUCUCCGAAAUAUAUUUAGGUAUAGCGUUGUGUCGUAACUAAAGGGGGUAGAGCACUGAAUGGGCUAGGGCAUACACCAAUGUACCAAACCCUAUCAAACUCCGAAUACCUUUAGUGUAAUCACAGCAGUCAGGCGGCGAGUGAUAAAAUCCGUCGUCAAGAGGGAAACAACCCAGACUAACAGCUAAGGUCCCCAAAUCUUACUUAAGUGGAAAACGAUGUGAAGUUACUUAAACAACCAGGAGGUUGGCUUAGAAGCAGCCAUCCUUUAAAGAAAGCGUAAUAGCUCACUGGUCUAGUGAUUUUGCGCGGAAAAUAUAACGGGGCUAAAGUAAGUACCGAAGCUUUAGACUUGCAUACAACUUAGAUGAUUUAAAUUUAGAAUAUGAGAAGCUAAAUUUAUUUUUAUUUAUUUUUGCUUAUCUUUAUUCAUUUUUAUAGAGUAAAGAUAAAAACAAAAACUUCGUAAAAAUAAUAAAAUUUAGUAAAAAACAAUAAAAAUAUUCUUAGAUUAAAAGUUAAGUCGUUUAAGUUGUGUGCAAGUGGUAGGAGAGCGUUCUAUUUGCGUCGAAGGUAUACCGACAAGGAGUGCUGGAGCGAAUAGAAGUGAGCAUGCAGGCAUGAGUAGCGAUAAUUAAUGUGAGAAUCAUUAACGCCGUAAACCCAAGGUUUCCUACGCGAUGCUCGUCAUCGUAGGGUUAGUCGGGUCCUAAGUCGAGUCCGAAAGGGGUAGACGAUGGCAAAUUGGUUAAUAUUCCAAUACCAACAUUAGUGUGCGAUGGAA